UACGUAGGGCGCAAGCGUUAUCCGGAAUUAUUGGGCGUAAAGAGCUCGUAGGCGGUCUGUCGCGUCUGCCGUGAAAACCCGAGGCUUAACCUCGUGGCUUGCGGUGGAUACGGGCAGACUAGAGGUAGGUAGGGGAGAAUGGAAUUCCCGGUGUAGCGGUGAAAUGCGCAGAUAUCGGGAGGAACACCGGUGGCGAAGGCGGUUCUCUGGGCCUUACCUGACGCUGAGGAGCGAAAGCGUGGGGAGCGAACAGG
rnacentral:rRNA from 1 species